rnacentral:rRNA from 1 species
UACGUAGGGGGCGAGCGUUGUCCGGAGUUACUGGGCGUAAAGCGCACGCAGGCGGUCUGCUAAGUUUGGAGUGACAGUUGGUGGCUUAACUGCCAAAGUGCUUCGAAAACUGACAGACUUGAGGGCUUCAGAGGGACACGGAAUUCCGGGUGGAGUGGUGAAAUGCGUAGAGAUCCGGAGGAACACCAAAGGCGAAGGCAGUGUCCUGGCUGGCAUCUGACGCUGAGGCGCGAAAGCUAGGGGAGCGAACAGG